GUUGGGAAUCUUGGACAAUGGGGGAAACCCUGAUCCAGCCAUGCCGCGUGAGUGAUGAAGGCCUUCGGGUUGUAAAACUCUUUCGACGGGGACGAUAAUGACGGUACCCGUAGAAGAAGCUCCGGCUAUCUUCGUGCCAGCAGCCGCGGUAAUACGAAGGGGGCUAGCGUUGUUCGGAAUUACUGGGCGUAAAGCGCGUGCAGGCGGCUUUUCAAGUCAGUGGUGAAAGCCUGGAGCUCAACUCCAGAACUGCCAUUGAAACUGCUAAGCUUGAGUACGAGAGAGGUGAGUGGAAUUCCCAGUGUAGAGGUGAAAUUCGUAGAUAUUGGGAAGAACACCAGUGGCGAAGGCGGCUCACUGGCUCGUAACUGACGCUCAGGCGCGAUAGCGUGGGGAUCAAACAGGAUUAGAAACCCCAGUAGUCC
rnacentral:rRNA from 1 species